UCUCUGCGCUCUUACACUUCACACGAAGAAAUUCGAGCGAUUACAUGUCAAGUUUGGAACGUUUCUUGUCCUACGUAAUGAAUAUGAACGAGCCACGCAAGAGAGUAACGGGAUAGACAACAGUAUCAAUUUUUAGCGACUAUCGAUUCUUGAGACUUCGGUUUAUGGCUCGAUUCCAAGGGGACCUUGCAAGGUUUCCAUCGUUGAGGAUUAGUAAUCUUCGACUAGACACACGACUGCCAGGGGCAGUACACUUUCCACGAAGGAAGAACGAUGCGGUCAUUUUUAUUCGUUCUGGUCGAAUUUAAUAAUCAUUUGCUUACAUACGGUUUAUCAUUUUGUUACAACUGAGAAUAAAUUACUUCGAGAUCGUGAAUACAUUUUAACGCUUACAAAUUGAAGGAUUUCCAGCAAUACGAAGGUAAUCGGCGCUUACGUUUCGUGUCGAGUUGAGUCGGACGCCCUGCUAAGCUGAAGCAAAAUCUUCGUCGGCUAGAGUUUUCUGGCUCUCUGUCGAUAAAAUCGCCGCGGGGAAGAUGGCAUGCGAGGAUGCAAACUGUACUGAAUGAAACGACUGUUUCGGUGGACAAAAAGUCUGGAGAGCGAUCUAUAUGCGGUUAAUGACUGGGAAAUAGUGGUGCGUGAAACAGCUUGGCAACGUCAAUGGCAAAUUCAGAGUCGUAGGUGGCCAAGUUUCACCACGCAUAUGAUGUUUAUUGAGAUAUCUUUCCAUCGAGUUUUCAGUAUACCAAGCUACUACUGGUGCAUUAUAAAUGAUAGCAUAAAAGUUUAUUAGGACUCUUUUACGACUAAUCGUGGCUGGGGUGUCAGAUAACAGUCUCAUACGUUAAAAAGUUUUAAAAUACAUUCUAUGCUACAAUGACGUUGCACAUUGAAUACUUGAAGUUGCUAAACGCAAGUGAUAUAUUUAAUUGAAUUUUUAUACUUUCGUAUCUUAAAAGACAAUUAUAGAGUAAAGUUUCAAUAAAUAGUACAGUUAAAAUAAUUUUUAAAAGAGAAAUGAUCGUUUAAAGUUCUCCGAGACAGUAUCAUGAAAAUUGUUGGGCAAGUUAAAAUUAUUGACUUUUAAAAACCUUUUUUUAAUUUAAUUGAAUUUAUCUAUAUAUGCGGGUAAACAUCUACUUUCAUAAAAACAAAAGCAAAACGUUACUUAUGUUGGAUGGCCUUCUUUACGUUUUCAGAAAGACAAGCAAAUAUUUUUUCAACGGAAUAAAAUUCAUUAAAAUUGUUUCGUAAAAGUAAAUUCUGAAUUAGAAUAUUGUAAUUGAACCUUUUAUAUUGGUAUACGUACAAUUGUAUUUUAAUGAUAAAUGUGUAUACAAAUGAUUGGAGUCCAUGUUGUUAAAAGUUAAUUUAAUAAUGGACUUUGUCGUGUUAGCCAAGUAUGAAAAAGACAAAAUUAGUAAACUGAAGAGUUGAACGUAUUACUCAAAACUGCCUUUAAUCUAAUGCAUAUUAACGUGAAUGUGUCAUCGUAAUUACAGGGGAAUUAGAGUACCACUCCUUACGCAUUCCAUUAACCAUUUCCAACCUUCGUUUCUCUUAGAUGAACGUAUUUGCACGUUCUGAACGGAUAAUUAUGCGAUCAUUAAAAUUGUCAUGUUACUAAAUAUAUUACACGUUUGUUCUUUAUUAAAUAAUUCGCAUUGCAAUAUGAUUUACGAGUAAAAUUACUUCUCUACGCGAAAUUCAGCGAUUCGCUAACAUUACUGAUGGAAAUAAACAACAGGAAUACCGCAUAUCCAAUUAAAUAAUAAUAUUAUAUUCUAAGUA